AAAGAGUUAAGUGAUUAAUAAAGUUAUUGUAUCAAAACUAUUUUUAAUAAUCAUUUUGAAAUGAAAUGUUAUUCGUUUUUAAAUAUAUCUAGUUUUUUUAGAAAAAAAUUUAAUUUUAAAAUUAAAUUUUUUUAAAAAUUAAUUAAUUAAUUUUUAGGGAUUUAAUUUUUAUAUUUUAGGGGAUAAGCUUUAAAUUAAAUUUUUAUAAAGUUAAUUAUAUAUUUUUGAAAAUUUUAUAAUUUAUAUUGUUAAUAAAUUUUAUUUUAUUAUAAAUAAUUUUAAAAUAAAAAAAAUUUAAUUUUGGUUUAAUUUUUUAUAAAAAAAUUAUUUUUAAUAAAUUAAUAAUAAGAAAUAAUGAUAAAAUUAGUAUAUUUUAUUGGUUUAAUUGAAAAUUAAUAUUAAUUUAAUUAAUUAAUUAAAAGGAAUUCGGCAAAUAUUUAUAUUCACUUGUUUAACAAAAACAUGUCUUUUUGAUUUUAAUUUAAAGUCUAAUCUGCCCACUGAUUUUUAAUUAAAGGGCUGCAGUAUUUUGACUGUACAAAGGUAGCAUAAUCAUUAGUCUCUUAAUUGGUGACUUGUAUGAAAGAUUGAAUGAGAUAUAUACUGUCUCUUAAUUAAUAUAUAGAAUUUAAUUUUUUAUUUAAAAAGUUAAAAUAAAUUAAAAAGACGAGAAGACCCUAUAGAGUUUUAUAAAUAAUGUUUAUAAUUAGUUAUUUGUUAAUAAAAUAUUUUUAUAAUUUUAUUUAUUUUAUUGGGGUGAUAAAAAAAUAAAUUUAACUUUUUUUAUAAUUUUAACAUAAAUAAGUGAGUAAAUGAUCCUUUUUUAACGAUUAUAAGAUUUAAUUACCUUAGGGAUAACAGCGUAAUUUUUUUUUUUAGUUCAAAUAAGAAAAAGAGUUUGCGACCUCGAUGUUGGAUUAAGAUAAAAUUUAAAUGCAAAAGUUUAAAAUUUUUG
rnacentral:rRNA from 1 species